AGUCUUCUGGGGCGUGCGCCAGGUGGCGCUCAAUCCCUUGAGCCUUAAUUCGCGACACAGGGGGCGACAAAACGGUUCUGUGUGCAUGUCCGCGCACUGCGCGGAAAGCCUGAUGAGCCGGGCGUGGCCCCCGACUUGAACCUGUUUGGUUCAAGGUCGUAGCGUCGCCAGCGGCGCCCUGGAAGACAC
rnacentral:other from 1 species